CGCCUUCAGAUUCAAUAUUGGAGGUCUGGUCUGCCCAGUGUAAUUAAUUAACGGCCGCGGUAUUCUGACUGUGCAAAGGUAGCAUAAUCACUUGCCCUUUAAAUGGGGGAAUGUAUGAAUGAUUAGACGAGGUUUUUACUGUCUCUUCCUUAUAAAUUGAGAUUACAAUACUUGUGAAAAUGCGGGUAAGGUAAUAAAGGACGAGAAGACCCUGUUGAGCUUUUAAGCUAAACUAUAGUACAGGUUAAGUUAAGUAAUAAUUUACAAUUAAAACGAGUAAUUUUUUGUAGGCUUUUUGGCUGGGGUGGCAAGCAAAGAUAUUAAGCUUUGUUGUAGUAUACAUUUUGUAUUUCUAGAUAAUAUGUAUCUAUAAAUAAUUAAAUUGAUCCGUUAAAAUAGAACGAUUAAAAGAAUAAGUUACCACAGGGAUAACAGCGUAAUUCUUUUUGAGAGCUCGAAUUGACAAAGGAGUUUGCGACCUCGAUGUUGGAUCAAGAUUCCUAGCGGUGUAGCAGCUGUUAUGGGUUUGCCUGUUCGGCGAUUAAUAUCU
rnacentral:rRNA from 1 species